rnacentral:rRNA from 1 species
GCUACGGGGGGCAGCAGUGAGGAAUAUUGGUCAAUGGACGAGAGUCUGAACCAGCCAAGUAGCGUGAAGGAUGACUGCCCUAUGGGUUGUAAACUUCUUUUAUAAAGGAAUAACACGAGGCACGUGUGCCUUUUUGCAUGUACUUUAUGAAUAAGGCUCGGCUAACUUCGUGCCAGCAGCCGCGGUAAUACGGAGGAUCCGAGCGUUAUCCGGAUUUAUUGGGUUUAAAGGGAGCGUAGGCGGGCUUUUAAGUCAGCGGUAAAAAUUCGGGGCUCAACCCCGUCCGGCCGUUGAAACUGGGGGCCUUGAGUGGGCGAGAAGAAGGCGGAAUGCGUGGUGUAGCGGUGAAAUGCAUAGAUAUCACGCAGAACCCCGAUUGCGAAGGCAGCCUUCCGGCGCCCUACUGACGCUGAGGCACGAAAGUGCGGGGAUCGAACAGGAUUAGAUACCCGAGUAGUC